GAUUAUGGCUCAGGAUGAACGCUAGCUACAGGCUUAACACAUGCAAGUCGAGGGGCAGCAUAUCGAAGCUUGCUUUGAUAGAUGGCGACCGGCGCACGGGUGAGUAACGCGUAUCCAACUUCCCAUCACUCAGGGAUAGCCGCCGAAAGGCGAAUUAAUACCUGAUGGUCUCCUUCGCGGACAUCUAACGAGGAGUAAAGAUUUAUUGGUGAUGGAUGGGGAUGCGUCUGAUUAGGUAGUAGGCGGGGUAACGGCCCACCUAGCCGACGAUCAGUAGGGGUUCUGAGAGGAAGGUCCCCCACAUUGGAACUGAGACACGGUCCAAACUCCUACGGGAGGCAGCAGUGAGGAAUAUUGGUCAAUGGACGGAAGUCUGAACCAGCCAAGUAGCGUGCAGGAAUGACGGCCCUAUGGGUUGUAAACUGCUUUUGUGCGGGAAUAAAGUAUGGGACGUGUCCCAUUUUGCAUGUACCGCACGAAUAAGGACCGGCUAAUUCCGUGCCAGCAGCUGC
rnacentral:rRNA from 1 species